rnacentral:misc_RNA from 1 species
AGUACAGGUCUCAGCUUUAGGCUCCCACCGAAAAACGUAUGAAAACGGCAAGGCAAGCAAAUGCACGAACGUAUUGGAGGCUUUCUCUCAUAAGAAUCUUAUUUUCAUCGCCUAGUAAGAUUGAUGAGACUCUUUUCUGUUGGGAGGAGGCUGGAGUUGAGGCUACAAACAGUGGAAGAUGGAGAAAAUACCUGCUUGUAUAUGGUGGACUAUAUGGAGAGAGAGAAAUGAUAGAUGUUUCGAAAAUAGGAACAACAACCUGCAAGAACUCAAGCUUAAAUGUAUUUCGUUGUUCUGUUUUUGGUGUACAAAUGUCUACUCCAAUGUGACUGAGUCAAUCAUAGAUGGUUUAGGAUCCAUCUAGUUCCUAGUUUAGCAUUGGAAGGACUUUAAAUCUUUUUCUUAUUUUGUAAAUAUGGUUUUUUAGUACUACCCAAGGAUUGACUGAAAUACAAU